AUACGGGGGGAGCAAGCGUUGUUCGGAUUUACUGGGCGUAAAGGGCGCGUAGGUGGCCAACUAAGUCAGGCGUGAAAUCCCUCGGCUUAACCGGGGAACUGCGUCUGAUACUGGAUGGCUUGAGGUUGGGAGAGGGACGCGGAAUUCCAGGUGUAGCGGUGAAAUGCGUAGAUAUCUGGAGGAACACCGGUGGCGAAGGCGGCGUCCUGGACCAAUUCUGACACUGAGGAGCGAAAGCCAGGGGAGCGAACGGG
rnacentral:rRNA from 1 species